rnacentral:sRNA from 17 species
GUCAACUACCCACCGUCUAAAGACGGGGGCUUGCAAAAGCCUUAGUUGACUACCCUCAGCCGAUUGAAGAAACGGGCUUCCGCCUCUUAAGGAAGAAGAAACGGGCUCACGCCUCUAAAGGAAGAUCAUCGGGCUACGUUAUAUAGGUCAUAACACCUUCGGAUGUUUCUCCUAGUCUGUCGCUCUGUU